GUACUGAUGGAGAGUUCCAGAAUAGGACGAAACAGGUGUUCAGUAC
rfam:Trichobilharzia regenti genome assembly, scaffold: TRE_scaffold0034771